rnacentral:rRNA from 1 species
GGCAAAAGCUCAAAUUUGAAAUCUGGCACCUUCGGUGUCCGAGUUGUAAUUUGAAGAAGGUAACUUUGGAGUUGGCUCUUGUCUAUGUUCCUUGGAACAGGACGUCACAGAGGGUGAGAAUCCCGUGCGAUGAGAUGCCCAAUUCUAUGUAAAGUGCUUUCGAAGAGUCGAGUUGUUUGGGAAUGCAGCUCUAAGUGGGUGGUAAAUUCCAUCUAAAGCUAAAUAUUGGCGAGAGACCGAUAGCGAACAAGUACAGUGAUGGAAAGAUGAAAAGAACUUUGAAAAGAGAGUGAAAAAGUACGUGAAAUUGUUGAAAGGGAAGGGCUUGAGAUCAGACUUGGUAUUUUGCAAGCCUUACCUUCGUGGUGGGGUCCCCUGCAGUUUACUGGGCCAGCAUCGGUUUGGAUGGUAGGAUAAUGACUUGGGAAUGUGACUUUGCUUCGGUAAAGUGUUAUAGCCCUUGUUGAUACUGCCUGUCUAGACCGAGGACUGCGUCUUUGACUAGGAUGCUGGCAUAAUGAUCUUAAGUCGCCCGUCUUGA